rnacentral:rRNA from 1 species
UACGGAAGGCAGCAGUGGGGAAUAUUGCACAAUGGGCGCAAGCCUGAUGCAGCCAUGCCGCGUGUAUGAAGAAGGCCUUCGGGUUGUAAAGUACUUUCAGUCGUGAGGAAGGUGUUAAGGUUAAUAACCUUAGCAAUUGACGUUAGCGACAGAAGAAGCACCGGCUAACUCCGUGCCAGCAGCCGCGGUAAUACGGAGGGUGCGAGCGUUAAUCGGAAUUACUGGGCGUAAAGGGCACGCAGGCGGUUAAUUAAGUUGGAUGUGAAAUCCCCGGGCUUAACCUGGGAAUGGCAUUCAAGACUGGUUAGCUAGAGUCUUGUAGAGGGGGUAGAAUUCCAUGUGUAGCGGUGAAAUGCGUAGAGAUGUGGAGGAAUACCGGUGGCGAAGGCGGCCCCUGGGACAAAGGCUGACGCUCAUGUGCGAAAGCGUGGGGAGCAAACGAGGGAUUAGAU